rnacentral:siRNA from 1 species
AGUGUAUUAGGCAGUUUAGGAGA